rnacentral:rRNA from 1 species
CCGGGAAUUUUGGGCAAUGGGCGAAAGCCUGACCCAGCAACGCCGCGUGAGGGAUGAAGUAUUUCGGUAUGUAAACCUCGAAAGAAUGGGAAGAAUAAAUGACGGUACCAUUUAUAAGCUCCGGCUGACUACGUGCCAGCAGCCGCGGUAAUACGUAGGGAGCAAGCGUUGUUCGGAUUUACUGGGCGUAAAGGGCGCGUAGGCGGCGCGGUAAGUCACUUGUGAAAUCUCUGAGCUUAACUCAGAACGGCCAAGUGAUACUGCUGUGCUAGAGUGCGGAAGAGGCAACCGGAAUUCUUGGUGUAGCGGUGAAAUGCGUAGAUAUCAAGAGGAACACCUGAGGCGAAGGCGGGUUGCUGGGCCGACACUGACGCUGAUGCGCGAAAGCCAGGGGAGCAAACG